GAGAUGGCUCAGUGAGUGAGAGCACUUGCUUAGCAAACAAGAGGACCUGAGUUCAAAUCCCUGACACUCA
rnacentral:tRNA from 1 species